UACGUAGGGUGCAAGCGUUUAAUCGGAAUUACUGGGCGUAAAGCGUGCGCAGGCGGUGAUGUAAGACAGAUGUGAAAUCCCCGGGCUCAACCUGGGAACUGCAUUUGUGACUGCACAGCUGGAGUGCGGCAGAGGGGGAUGGAAUUCCGCGUGUAGCAGUGAAAUGCGUAGAUAUGCGGAGGAACACCGAUGGCGAAGGCAAUCCCCUGGGCCUGCACUGACGCUCAUGCACGAAAGCGUGGGGAGCAAACAGG
rnacentral:rRNA from 1 species